UACGUAGGGUGCAAGCGUUGUUCGGAAUCAUUGGGCGUAAAGAGCGUGUAGGCGGCUUACCAAGUCGAUUGUGAAAGCCCUCGGCUCAACCGGGGAAGUGCAGUCGAAACUGGUAGGCUCGAGAACGGUAGAGGAAGGUGGAAUUCCUAGUGUAGAGGUGAAAUUCGUAGAUAUUAGGAGGAAUACCUGUGGCGAAGGCGGCUCACUGGCCCGGUACUGACGCUGAGGUGCGAAAGCGUGGGGAGCAAACAGG
rnacentral:rRNA from 1 species